rnacentral:rRNA from 1 species
GCAAGUCGAACGAAAGUUUUUAACUUUAGUGGCGAACGGGUGCGUAAUACGUGAGAAUCUGCCCUUAGGAGAAGAAUAACUGCUGGAAACGGCUGCUAAAUCUUCAUAUACCGAGAGGUGAAAUAGUUUUAACUGCCUAAGGAUGAGCUCACGCCUGAUUAGCUAGUUGGUGAGGUAACGGCUUACCAAGGCCACGAUCAGUAGCUGGUUUGAGAGAAUGAUCAGCCACACUGGGACUGAGACACGGCCCAGACUCCUCCGGGAGGCAGCAGUGAGGAAUUUUCCGCAAUGGGCGAAAGCCUGACGGAGCAAUACCGCGUGAGGGAUGAAGGAUUUUGGUCUGUAAACCUCUUUUCUCAAGAAAGAAGUUCUGACGGUACUUGAGGAAUAAGCAUCGGCUAACUCCGUGCCAGCAGCCGCGGUAAUACGGGGGAUGCAAGCGUUAUCCGGAAUCAUUGGGCGUAAAGCGCCUGUAGGUUGUUUAAUAAGUCUGUUGUUAAAGACUAGGGCUCAACCCUAGAAAAGCAAUGGAAACUACUAGACUAGAGUAUGGCAGGGGUAGAGGGAAUUUCUAGUGUAGCGGUGAAAUGCGUAGAUAUUAGAAAGAACACCAGUGGCGAAAGCGCUCUACUGGACCGUUACUGACACUCAGAGGCGAAAGCUAGGGUAGCAAAAGGGAUUAGAUACCCCUGUAGUCCUAGCCGUAAACGAUGGAUACUAGAUGUUGUAUUUAUUAUACAGUAUCCUAGCUAACGCGUUAAGUAUCCCGCCUGGGGAGUACGCUCGCAAGGGUGAAACUCAAAGGAAUUGACGGGGGCCCGCACAAGCGGUGGAGCAUGUGGUUUAAUUCGAUGCAACGCGAAGAACCUUACCAGGGCUUGACAUACUGCGAACCUUUUUGAAA